UCAAAGAUUAUACAAACAUUGUCAUUUUGGUUGUCAUUUUGGUUGUAUAAAAGAAACAUUUUAUAGAGAGUGGUCUCAACGCAUAUACCAAUAGACAUGAGCGCUUUAAAGGUUGCAUUCAUUGUCAUGAUGACAUUUAUUGGGUUAAAAUUGUGCGGAUCACAAGGCCCUCGUCAAAGUCCUAUAAGAAAAUGCGAAAACUGCAAAGAAGCACUUAAAAAAUUAUCUAUAAUGAAAAAAACCCAGAACAUUAAUCAAGAGAUCUGCAAAAGAUUUUCGUUUGGUUCAUUCAACUGGUGCGUAAGUAUGGUGAAAAAGGUAUCAAUGUCAUUAAGUGAAGGAAACACUUGUACUGAUCACCAUGAUAUCUGUAAGUGUCAUCAGUACUGUUAAACGAAAUCAAAAAGAUAAUCUAAAAGAUUGAACUGUUUCAUCGUUAAAAUGGCAAAAAAUUUCAUUAUUGUUACGUUUUUUUUUUUUGAUGUUUAUUGAUUAUUAUUAUAUAAAUGUUAAAAAUAAUGCAUAAAAAAUCAAAAAAUUACAUUUAUAUCAUUAUGUAAAUAGAUGUUACAAAGAUGUAUUUUAAAAAACAUAUAAGUUAUUAUAACCUAAACUAU